rnacentral:rRNA from 1 species
AUUGAACGCUGGCGGCAUGCUUUACACAUGCAAGUCGAACGGCAGCGCGGGCUUCGGCCUGGCGGCGAGUGGCGAACGGGUGAGUAAUGCAUCGGAACGUGCCCAGUAGUGGGGGAUAGCCCGGCGAAAGCCGGAUUAAUACCGAAUCCGACCUGAGGGUGAAAGCGGGGGACCGAAAGGCCUUGCGCUAUUGGAGCGGCCGAUGUCGGAUUAGCUAGUUGGUGGGGUAAAGGCUUACCAAGGCGACGAUCCGUAGCUGGUCUGAGAGGACGACCAGCCACACUGAGACUGAGACACGGCCCAGACUCCUACGGGAGGCAGCAGUGGGGAAUUUUGGACAAUGGGGGCAACCCUGAUCCAGCCAUGCCGCGUGCGGGAAGAAGGCCUUCGGGUUGUAAACCGCUUUUGUUCGGGAAGAAAUCCUCUGGGCUAAUACCCCGGGGGGAUGACGGUACCGGAAGAAUAAGCACCGGCUAACUACGUG